UUCUUAAACAACCUUAUAUGAGCAGUUCUCUUCUCAGGCUACUCUAGCACAGCUGUGGCCAGCUGCACUCAGCCUUCAGCCCAGCCAUGGAUUAUAUACCAGAUGAUUCCUGUUCAUUGAAAAUACUGGAAACAACAAGGAAUACAUCACACUGCCGAGAAAUUGGAUCCACCCAGAGAGACCAAAGGAAAGCUAUGACAUUUGAGGAACAGGCAAACAUUUCUCCUGCAAGCAUUUACUGAAGCAGGUAUUUAAGUUUAAUAAUAUCUACAUUUUCACCCAGAUCUUUAUAGAUGCAAGAAUUAUAAUACCAAUGAAAGCUUUAAAUAUGAUACAAAUGACCUUGUAAAGACAUUUCAUAAACUCGUUCAUUUAAAAAAGUAACAAAAUGUUUCUAACACAAGGAUACAUUUUUAAGAGAAUAAAUGGGUGUUUGAAUGAA
rnacentral:lncRNA from 1 species